GUGAGGAAUUUUCCGCAAUGGGCGAAAGCCUGACGGAGCAAUGCCGCGUGAAGGAUGAAGGCCUAUGGGUUGUAAACUUCUUUUCUCAGAAAAGAAUUAUGACGGUAUCUGAGGAAUAAGCAUCGGCUAACUCUGUGCCAGCAGCCGCGGUAAGACAGAGGAUGCAAGCGUUAUCCGGAAUGAUUGGGCGUAAAGCGUCUGUAGGUUGUUUAAAAAGUAUUCUGUCAAAGAUUAGGGCUUAACCCUAGAUAGGCAGAAUAAACUUUUAAGCUAGAGGUUGGUAGAGGCAGAGGGAAUUCCCGGUGGAGCGGUGAAAUGCGUAGAUGUCGGGAGGAACACCAAAGGCGAAGGCACUCUGCUGGGCCAAUACUAACACUGAGGGACGAAAGCGAGGGGAGCAAAUGGGAUUAGAAACCCCAGUAGUCC
rnacentral:rRNA from 1 species